rnacentral:rRNA from 1 species
UACAGAGGGUGCGAGCGUUAAUCGGAAUUACUGGGCGUAAAGCGCGCGUAGGCGGCUUUGCAAGUCGGGUGUGAAAUCCCCAGGCUUAACCUGGGAACUGCAUUCGAGACUGCAUUGCUAGAGUACCGGAGAGGAUGGUGGAACUCUCGGUGUAGAGGUGAAAUUCGUAGAUAUCGAGAAGAACACCGGUGGCGAAGGCGGCCAUCUGGACGGAUACUGACGCUGAGACGCGAAAGCGUGGGGAGCAAACAGG